UCCAAUAGAUUUCCAGUGCGACCGGUC
rnacentral:sRNA from 1 species